rnacentral:rRNA from 1 species
AACACAUGCAAGUCGAGGGGCAGCAUGGUCUUAGCUUGCUAAGGCCGAUGGCGACCGGCGCACGGGUGAGUAACACGUAUCCAACCUGCCGUCUACUCUUGGACAGCCUUCUGAAAGGAAGAUUAAUACAAGAUGGCAUCAUGAGUCCGCAUGUUCACAUGAUUAAAGGUAUUCCGGUAGACGAUGGGGAUGCGUUCCAUUAGAUAGUAGGCGGGGUAACGGCCCACCUAGUCUUCGAUGGAUAGGGGUUCUGAGAGGAAGGUCCCCCACAUUGGAACUGAGACACGGUCCAAACUCCUACGGGAGGCAGCAGUGAGGAAUAUUGGUCAAUGGGCGAGAGCCUGAACCAGCCAAGUAGCGUGAAGGAUGACUGCCCUAUGGGUUGUAAACUUCUUUUAUAAAGGAAUAAAGUCGGGUAUGCAUACCCGUUUGCAUGUACUUUAUGAAUAAGGAUCGGCUAACUCCGUGCCAGCAGCCCGCGGUAAUACGGAGGAUCCCGAGCGUUAUCCGGAUUUAUUGGGUUUAAAGGGAGCGUAGAUGGAUGUUUAAGUCAGUUGUGAAAGUUUGCGGCUCAACCGUAAAAUUGCAGUUGAUACUGGAUAUCUUG